UGGUGGGUAGUUUGACUGGGGCGGUCUCCUCCCAAAGAGUAACGGAGGAGCACGAAGGUGGGCUAAUCACGGUUGGACAUCGUGAGGUUAGUGCAAUGGCAUAAGCCCGCUUGACUGCGAGAAUGACAAUUCGAGCAGGUGCGAAAGCAGGUCAUAGUGAUCCGGUGGUUCUGAAUGGAAGGGCCAUCGCUCAACGGAUAAAAGGUACUCCGGGGAUAACAGGCUGAUACCGCCCAAGAGUUCAUAUCGACGGCGGUGUUUGGCACCUCGAUGUCGGCUCAUCACAUCCUGGGGCUGAAGUCGGUCCCAAGGGUAUGGCUGUUCGCCAUUUAAAGUGGUACGCGAGCUGGGUUUAGAACGUCGUGAGACAGUUCGGUCCCUAUCUGCCGUGGGCGUUGGAAGAUUGAAGGGGGCUGCUCCUAGUACGAGAGGACCGGAGUGGACGAACCUCUGGUGUUCGGGUUGUGUCGCCAGACGCAUUGCCCGGUAGCUAAGUUCGGAAUCGAUAACCGCUGAAAGCAUCUAAGCGGGAAGCGAGCCCUGAGAUGAGUCUUCCCUGAUACUUUAAGUAUCCUAAAGGGUUGUCGGAGACUACGACGUUGAUAGGUCAGGUGUGUAAGUGCUGUGAGGCAUUGAGCUAACUGAUACUAAUUGCCCGUGAGGCUUAACCAUACAACAC
rnacentral:rRNA from 1 species